GCAGAAGAAACCCAUAGUCCUUGUAACAGCUCUGGGGAUCCAACUGCCUGUGAGAGCUUCUUGGUCAUCAUCUUUUUUUAAAAAGCCUCUUACUUUCUGUCUUCCUAACAAUUCUUAGACAGAAGGAAAAGGUGGUUUAGUGACGUAUAUGGUGCUAGAACAUGUCUAAAGUGAAAUUUGAACCCAGGUCCUUGACUCAAGACCUGGUGCUCUAUCCACUCUGUGACCUAGCUGGCCCUAGCUACCUUUUUAUAGAAACAAUUGGCCAUGAAUUCUCACAUGAAAGGAAGUUGUGUCUCUAGCAAAAAAAAAAAAUAAAUAAAUAAAAUGAAAUGAAAAAUAAUAAGUUUGAGAAGCAUUACUCUCUUCCCACCAGGUUCAUUCUUUCAUUACCAGAAUAUCCUCUCUCCAUUAAUCAGUGAGGUGAUUCUUUUCUUUCUUUAAGGCUCUUAUCAAGUGCUAUUUCUACCAAGAAGUCUUCUUUCACAGCCUGCCUGUACUCCCUACCUUCCCCCUAACCCCCACCCCCAUUCUAUUAGGUCACAUAGUCUUAUGGUACUUCCUCUGAGGCUGCCUCCUUUGGCGUGGCUUACUAAGCAAAAUUAAAAUUUGUUUACUAUUGAAGAGAGGCUAAAAUCGUUUUCAGUUUGCCAGCAGAAAAAAUUGACCCCUCCAAUGAUUUGUUCUUUGGCUCCCUUACCACUGUGUUGGCUCAGAAUGAGUCUCUGUAAUCCUCUCUGAUGGGUCUUUUUUUAUUUGAAUGUUGCCUAGAAAUUCCUCUUCUAUUCUGUAUUCACGCAGUUGAUUUUAAGGCACACACACCUGUUUGAAUGCCUUCUGUUUUCUGGCCAUGCCCACAGAAGUGGAGAGAGAUGCUCCUACAGCCUAACAGCUAGCAAUGUUUUCAGCACCCCCGCUUCAGCUUGCAUUCAGAGGACAGAGUGUCGGCAAGGCAACAGCAAUGCUUCCCUAUUGGGACUGGCUGACUGCCUACCAUGGAGUGCGCUGAUAUGCACAUGGGCGCUUUUGGUGCUGAGAAUGAGCUUAACACUGGAAGUGUCAGAACAGAAAUGAUUAACAAGAAGCUGAUGUUCUAGAUAUGUAAGGUGACAGUAAGAGACUAGUUCACUCUCCCUGCUGAAUUCAAGUUGAUAUUGAUGAAUGAUAUCCUGAG
rnacentral:lncRNA from 1 species